GACGAACGCUGGCGGCGUGCUUAACACAUGCAAGUCGAACGGAAAGGCCCUGCUUUUGUGGGGUGCUCGAGUGGCGAACGGGUGAGUAACACGUGAGUAACCUGCCCUUGACUUUGGGAUAACUUCAGGAAACUGGGGCUAAUACCGGAUAGGAGCUCCUGCUGCAUGGUGGGGGUUGGAAAGUUUCGGCGGUUGGGGAUGGACUCGCGGCUUAUCAGCUUGUUGGUGGGGUAGUGGCUUACCAAGGCUUUGACGGGUAGCCGGCCUGAGAGGGUGACCGGCCACAUUGGGACUGAAAUGCGGCCCGGACUCCUACGGGAGGCAGCAGUGGGGAAUAUUGCACAAUGGGCGGAAGCCUGAUGCAGCAACGCCGCGUGCGGGAUGACGGCCUUCGGGUUGUAAACCGCUUUCGCCUGUGACGAAGCGUGAGUGACGGUAAUGGGUAAAGAAGCACCGGCUAACUACGUG
rnacentral:rRNA from 1 species